AUUGAACGCUGGCGGCAUGCCUUACACAUGCAAGUCGAACGGCAGCACGGACUUCGGUCUGGUGGCGAGUGGCGAACGGGUGAGUAAUACAUCGGAACGUGCCUAGUAGUGGGGGGCAACAGUUGGAAACGACUGCUAAUACCGCAUAAUGCUUUUGAGCGGCAUCGCUUGAAAGCCAAAGAUUUAUCGCUGAAAGAUGGUCUCGCGUCUGAUUAGCUAGUUGGUGAGGUAACGGCUCACCAAGGCGACGAUCAGUAGCCGGUCUGAGAGGAUGAACGGCCACAUUGGGACUGAGAUACGGCCCAG
rnacentral:rRNA from 1 species